GAUGAACGCUAGCGACAGGCUUAACACAUGCAAGUCGAGGGGCAGCAUGAUUUGUAGCAAUACAGAUUGAUGGCGACCGGCGCACGGGUGAGUAACGCGUAUGCAACUUACCUAUCAGAGGGGGAUAGCCCGGCGAAAGUCGGAUUAAUACCCCAUAAAACAGGGGUCCCGCAUGGGAAUAUUUGUUAAAGAUUCAUCGCUGAUAGAUAGGCAUGCGUUCCAUUAGGCAGUUGGCGGGGUAACGGCCCACCAAGGCAACGAUGGAUAGGGGUUCUGAGAGGAAGGUCCCCCACACUGGUACUGAGACACGGACCAGACUCCUACGGGAGGCAGCAGUGAGGAAUAUUGGUCAAUGGGCGAGAGCCUGAACCAGCCAAGUCGCGUGGAGGAAGACUGCCCUAGGGUUGUAAACUCCUUUUACCNGGGAAUAACGGGCGCUACGCGUAGCGCUGUGCA
rnacentral:rRNA from 1 species